CUGUGAUGAACCCCUAGAUGACGAGUCUCAUCUGGUUUUGCCAAUGCAGACAACCUUUUUUUUAUUUACCAUUCAUGCAUAACUGAUC
rfam:Hortaea werneckii EXF-2000 unitig_19, whole genome shotgun sequence.